ensembl:lncRNA
CUCAGAAGGUGGUGGGCACCAGUGACCCUGGGAUGGGCAGGGGCACAGCGGCACCCUUGGCCUGGAGGGGCACUCCUUGGACAGGCUGCUGCCUGGCCCGGCCAUCCUCUCCCCGCCCACCCCCUGGGAUGGGGAAACAGCGGGCACUGGGUCCCAGCCAGCAGGGGCGGGUCUGGUUUCACUUUCUGCUGUGUCAUGGGGUGGGGGGUGGCAUCGGGGCCCGGCUGGCCAGCUGGGGCGGGCACUGAGAGGCUGGCGGACAGCUGGGGCCCAGCUGCCAGAGCACAACCUGUGCCCUCGCCCUUCUGCCUGCUGGGCUGGGGGCUGGGGGCUGGGCCCCAGGGAUUCCCUGUGAAUGCCUCUUACCCACCCCUGCCCCAGUGGGAGAACCCCAAGUGAGAGAAGCCAGCAGGGUGUGAGAUGGUUCUUCUAGCCAUGAGAUCUCCCCCAACCCAGACAUGUUCUUUAGCCCACAGUCUUGAGGUUCCUGGAACUGCUGCUAUUGAUUCUGCAUCAGAGUGCUCUGGUUGGAUGCCUGCUUCCUGCUGCCUCCACUGGUGCAUGCCUCCUGAGGGCCUACUGUGUGCUUGGCAUGGUCCCCGGUGCCAGGGAUGCCGUGGGAAGCAAGACGGCGCCUGCCCUCCUAGGGCUCCCGGUUGAGUGGUACGGCAAAAUCAAAAGAGCAAGUAAAGAGAGAAAGAAUCCCACAUGGUGGGGACAGUUCCACACAGUCCGCUUCACGUCAGCAUCUCAGGGAAGGGGCAUGUGUACAUGUGUGUGUGUGCACGUGUAUGUGUCAGGGAUGUGACGACUCCCGGAACACAUAGGUCAGUUGAGAACACAGACCUGGGGGGCCAGGUGUCCCUGAUUUGAAUCUGGAUUUUUCCACUGAUGGGUGUGAAACCCAAACCAAAUUUCUUCUCUUUGGGCCUGAAUUUCUGUCUCUAUAAUGGUACCUACAGAGCAGGGCUGCAUGGAGGAUGAAAUGAAUAUCCGUAAAGAACUAAAGACAGUCGCCUGGCAUUGACCGUCUGCUAAGUCUCAGCCACUGUCUACUAACUAAGCAUCAUAAACACUCCCUGUCCUCACAGAUGACAUGAGGCCAUCACUGCAGGCUGAGAGCAGCCAUGAUGCUGUUGAGCCCACUCUCCCCCACUCAGAGCUUUGCCUGCCUCUUCUCUCUAGCCGCACCAGCCUCAGGUAGGCCUUAGCAUCUCUUUGUUCAGAUGAGGACACGGAAGCUCAGGCAGGUGAAGAGAUGUGUCCACCUUAAAGCAGUCUGACCCUGGGUGUGGGGUCGGCUUCACAGUGUGGGCCCUGCUGGUUCAAUGCUCCACUCUUGUCAUUGAAAUUCUGAAUAAUUUUGGGAACAAGGGGUUCACGUUUUCGUUUUGCAAAUUACAAAGCCAGUCUUGCCCAGAUCUGACUUCCUCCAAAGCCGGCCCUCUUAACUCCUACCAUCAAUCUCUCAUAGAUGGAUGGUCCAGAACAGUUUUCCAGUUCAUCAUUACAGUGUUUAGUGUGGGACUGAAAUCCUGGGGUGCAUACAGGACUUACUGUGGGGCCAAAUUGCCCUAGUUUUUGUUUGAUUGUCUGGUGUCCCCAUUAGAAGGAAGGCGGGGCAGCUGCCCAGGGCAGGGGGUGAAUCAUUCAUUGCUGAAUCCCCAGGGCCUGGCAUGUACUAGCUGCUCAGUUAAUAAUUGUGAAAUGAAGCAAAUGAAUGGCAGGCCGCUGGAUCUCCUGAACUAAAACAGAUUUAAAUGACACUACCAAGAAAGCAGGUCAAAGUGGUGGCCAUCCUGCCCUGGCUUCUGGACAGUCCCCUGAAGGGUGUGGAGGCAAAGGUCUCUUCCCUCCCCAGGCGGCAAACCUGAAUGCCAAUGCCUUGCAGCAGAUUACUGUUUAAACAGGUUCUGGGACUUCCCUGGCAGUCCAGCAGUUAAGACUCCAUGCUCCCACUGCAGGUGGGUUCCAUCUCUGAUUCAGGAAUUAAGAUCCUACAUGCCACGUGGUAUGGCCAGAAAAACCUAAAACAGGCUCUGGUGGGGACUUCAGAGGCAACACAACUGUUUAAAGAAAACAUAGGCCUGGAUCCCUGAGCACCAGUUAUUGGAGAAGAUACCAUCUCAGCCAAAAGAAUAUUGUAAUUCUGGGCAGGUUCAAGUCCCAGCCAAGGAUCAGGGGGUACAGUUUCCUGGACUGCUAAAUGAGAGUUUGGAUUUGGGGGGGGGGUUCAAGUUCCUCUUUUCCUCAGAAAUUAGAGUUUUUCUACAUUCUUACAGUUCCAAAUUUGCUCCCUUAAAAAAAAAAAAAAAAAACAACUUAGUUUUACUAACAAGCAAAGAAUCAUCUGAAAAUCCUUUAAGAGAUUUACAACAAUAAUUAAUGUGUUUUGGGCGAGCUGUUUUCACAGGCUCGAUCUCUAUCGCUUCAGAUAAUCGGCAUAUGAAGUAGAAGUUACUGGUCUCAUUUCUAAAUAAUAUCGUAACUGCCAGCAUACACUGAGUGUUUUAUAUGAGCUAAACUCUUCACAUGUAUGAAGUCUUGUUGCACGAGCAACAUAUCGGGAGGCACUGUUACUGCCUCUGGCUUCCUGAUGAAGCAGCAAGCUUAGAGAGAGGAACUGACUUGUCCAAGGUCACACACCCAGUGUGUGAUGAGCCAGAGUUCAAGCUGGAACCUUCCAGAUCAGGCGUCAGCAAACUUCUUCUGGAAAGGGCCAGAUACUAAAUAUUUUAGACUUUACAGGUCAUACAAUCCCUUGUCAGAGCUACUCCACUCUGCUGUUGUAACAAGAAAACAGCCAGAAGCAUUAAGUAAAUGAGUGGUCCUGGCUGCGUGUUCCAAUAAAACUUUAUUUACAAAAUCAGGAAGUAGGGUGAUUUUGGCCCCACAGACUGUAUAGUUCACCUCCCCUCCGCGUUCCAGACCCUAACACCUGCCUUCCAGUUAGGAAGCACCUGGCCCUGGCCACAUUCUUCCUCACCGUCUCUCCCUACCUGUGAGGCGACUCAGUCAUGUCUCAGAACAGAGCCCGCUGGGCCUUGGGAGAGGGUCAGUUGGCCUCUCUUUCCUUGGGAUUAUGAAGCUCUUGGAAUUUACAACUAUUAGGACUUACUAGUGACUGCCAUGAUCGAUCGCCAUGGGGACUUUAAAACUGUAAUUUUAAUAGCUGUUAAGUGAGUAACUUAAAGAGGAAAGUGUUAAAAGAGUUUUAGGAAAAUACCUCAAUGGGGCACUUUGGCUGUGGAAGGAACUUCUCUUUGGAGAAGGCAUUUCUCUGGAGUUGGCAAGAAUGGCAACAGGAGGGAAAAUGUUUUAAGGCAGAAGAAGGUAACGAGAAGGGGAGAUGGGAAGAGUGUGUGUGCACGCGUGUGUGUGCAGAGAGAGGGUGGAGGAGAGAGGUUUCCCAAAGGCAGGAGGCUGGAGCCUGUGGAUUCCUGACAGGAGAAGGGGUUGGGCAGGGAGACAUGACUUUUUUCCCCAACAGCUUUAUUGAGAUAGAAUUCAUUUACCACAUAAUUCAACCAUUUCAAAUAGUACACCCCCCAAAUGGCUUUGCGUAUGUUCACAGAGUUGUGCGACAGUCAACACAAUCAAUUUUAAAACAUUUUCAUCACUUCAAAAAGAAAACCCUGUCCCCUUUAACAGCCCACCACUCCCACCGAAUCUUCUAACCCCCUCCCCCAUCCCCCACUCCUAAACAAUCGCUAAUCUCCUCUUCGUCUCUAUAGAUUCACCUGUUCUGGGUCUUUCAUACAAAGGAAAUACAUAUUUCAUACGGAAGGUGACCCUCUGUGACCGGCUUCUUUCACUCAGCAUUAUGUUCUCAGGGUUCGUCCAUGCUGCAGCCAUAUCAGAACAUCAUUCUUUUUCAUGGCAGAAUCACACCAACAUGGCUUUAACAGAACUUUGUCAUGAAGGGGAAUGCAACAUGACU